rnacentral:rRNA from 1 species
UACGUAGGGCGCAAGCGUUGUCCGGAAUUAUUGGGCGUAAAGAGCUCGUAGGCGGUUUGUCGCGUCUGCUGUGAAAACUCGAGGCUCAACCUCGGGCUUGCAGUGGGUACGGGCAGACUAGAGUGCGGUAGGGGAGACUGGAAUUCCUGGUGUAGCGGUGGAAUGCGCAGAUAUCAGGAGGAACACCGAUGGCGAAGGCAGGUCUCUGGGCCGGUACUGACGCUGAGACGCGAAAGCGUGGGGAGCGAACAGG